rnacentral:rRNA from 1 species
AUGUCACAUUUACAUCUAAAUGUGACGUCAGCAACAGCUCAUCCUAAAAUAAACCCCACCUCCGUUCUUUGUCUUUGUUUAUUUUUACUUUGUUUGUUUGUCUUUCUUUUCUUCUGUGUGUCCUCCGACCCACUACAAACAACCCGGACACCCCCUUCCCUGGGCCUUAUAUGUUGUUUGUUACUGGUCAGAUCUGGGCUGCACCUUUAUAUAUUCAUACACACGUACAUGUAUUUGUACUUAUUGUUAUGUCUUUUCCUUGGGUGCCACGCACACCACGCAAGUAGCCCUGCUAGCUGCUUCUUUAGCUUCAGUAGUUCAGUUUAA